rnacentral:rRNA from 1 species
CCUACGAGUGGCAGCAGUGGGGAAUAUUGCACAAUGGGGGAAACCCUGAUGCAGCGACGCCGCGUGAGUGAAGAAGUAUUUCGGUACGUAAAGCUCUAUCAGCAGGGAAGAAAAUGACGGUACCUGACUAAGAAGCCCCGGCUAACUACGUGCCAGCAGCCGCGGUAAUACGUAGGGGGCAAGCGUUAUCCGGAUUUACUGGGUGGAAAGGGAGCGUAGACGGCAGCGCAAGUCUGAAGUGAAAUACCAUUGCUUAACCAUGGAACUGCUUUGGAAACUGUGCAGCUGGAGUGCAGGAGAGGUAAGCGGAAUUCCUAGUGUAGCGGUGAAAUGCGUAGAUAUUAGGAGGAACACCAGUGGCGAAGGCGGCUUACUGGACUGUAACUGACGUUGAGGCUCGAAAGCGUGGGGAGCAAACAGGAUUAGAUACCCGAGUAGUC